UACGAAGGGGGGCUAGCGUUGCUCGGAAUUACUGGGCGUAAAGGGCGCGUAGGCGGAUAGUUUAGUCAGAGGUAAAAGCCCAGGGCUCAACCUUGGAACUGCCUUUGAUACUGGCUAUCUUGAGUUCGGGAGAGGUGAGUGGAAUGCCGAGUGUAGAGGUGAAAUUCGUAGAUAUUCGGCGGAACACCAGUGGCGAAGGCGACUCACUGGCCCGAUACUGACGCUGAGGCGCGAAAGCGUGGGGAGCAAACAGG
rnacentral:rRNA from 1 species